UUCCCGCAGCCCCGGAGGCCCCGGAGGCCCCGCAGCCCGGGCCCCCCCCCCCCGGGUUCCUCCCCGCGGCUGUGGUGGGGUCUUUUUCUUUUUUUUCUUCCCCCCAAACCGGCCCCGUUCCGUGUCCCUGCGCUUCGCGGGGGACACGGCCUGGCCGACCCCCGGGCUGCGGCACGGGACGCUGGCGGGGAGCCGGGCCCGCGGGCACGGAGCUCGGUGUCGGUGCGAAGCGCGAGCACGGUUGGUGCUGCAGAGAAUCCAUCUUAAUCACAGGAAGAACUGGACACAGCUUUCACAACUGAAAAAUCAACAGAACUACAGUUUUGACAAGAAGUCAUUUAAAUUGUGAAGAAAAACCAGCAAGAAAGCCAACAACUGCUGGAUCGUGUCAAGGCUGAUUCUGUUCUUGCAUAAAUUUAAUGCAUUUCCCAGUAUGAGAAUACACUGGUAGUACUAUAAAGAAGCAAGAGAAUUCUUGAAAGAAGGUCUCUGCCAUUACUUCUCUCCUGGGCUAUUAGAGAUUCAUCUUCCCCCAUCCAUCUGCAUUUUGUGGGCUUCCCAUAUGCUUAAUGCAUUAACUGGGCCUGCCCAUCCAGUACCAAUUGGUUUAUGUUUCCUGGGAGAAUUUCCCUUGUGUUAACUUACUUUGCUUCCAAUCUGCCUGCCAGGCAGCCACAUGCUGGUCAAAUCAACCUCGUCACACUUAAGGGGAUUGCAGGCCAAAAAGGCACAUGAAUAAGUGAAGAGCUCCUUCUCUGGCACCCUGGGCUCCUCCAGCAGGCACUGCAGUACAGAAGUCCCUUAUUGUCAAGGCAGCAUUCCCCAGAGAAGGAAGCAGAAGACAUCACCCAGAGGCUUUGAAGAUCUGGAUUAUUUUUAUAAAGCACUGAACACAAUAGACUGACUAAUGCACUCCAGGCCCUAGGCCAUACUGUCAACUGAAGGGUGACCAGUCCUCUUGGACUGGUACACCUCUGCACUGCUGGAAGCAAGGCUAAGAGAGCUAGGACUGCCCUCAGGCAACGGACUCCCGGGUGCCAUAAAGCUGCCAUAGGAGUCCAGUGCUGUCUGCUCCUUCACUCUUUCCAGAGAAUAUUCAUAGAAAUGCUGCAGGAGAGGGCACAGGUAGAGCCUUUGGGAGUCAUCAUGUCUGCUAUCAGUAAAAACAGCCUUUAGGGACACUAGACGGAUGCCACAGGCCAGCUGGGACAGAGUCAUGGACCAGCCCUGGCAGGAGUGGAGAUGUGACUUAGAGCCACAGAAGCCUCUCAUCUUCCUUCUAUGAAGACUUAAUAAUCAAGCCUGGCACAGUGAAGCAAUGACAGCCUAUUUCUAUUAUCUGUUACCUCAUUUCCAAACCAAAGAACACAAAAUAGGUGUUUCAAUUACAAAAAGACUGCACAUUCACUCCUGGGAAAGGUCUGUCCCUUGAUCUGCAGGCACGUUUUGUGCAUGGUAACAGAUUAAUGAUGUCCACAGUGUGUUUAGGUGCUGCCUGCACAUUUAUGUUCAUGGUCUGCUCCUGGCUACAAUUUCAGUAUGCACAGUCCUAACUCCUACAUGUCUGCUCUGUUUGGAAAGAUGACAGAGUCCAUGGUCUCACAGAAAGUUGUGCAAUAGGUUUCAUUUUUGCUGCAUGUUCUCACCACAGCAGGAAACUGUAAGGCCAUCUGGAAGGAGGAUUGUACAAAGGGAAAAAUAAAGGCAGUAAAAAGAAAAACAGUGCUUCUGAAGCAUCAGUGACCAGCCAGGUAGCACAAGCAGCCUAUGGUGAACUGAAAUAAUGUAAACUGAAGAACAGAUGUCAGGUGCAUGGGAAAGUUGCCCUAGAUACAAAGCAUGAGAAAUGUUAGCAUAAGAUGCCAGGGAAAACCUAAAUGCUAAGAAAAAAGAUAACAUUCUGAUGUAUGCACAUAAAACUGUGUUAGGGACUUCUGUAUAUGUGAUGUUGUAUUGCAACAAAGCAAAACCUCUUACCUGU